AUGAACGCUGGCGGCGUGCCUAAUACAUGCAAGUCGAGCGAACAGAUGAGGAGCUUGCUCCUCUGACGUUAGCGGCGGACGGGUGAGUAACACGUGGAUAACCUACCUAUAAGACUGGGAUAACUUCGGGAAACCGGAGCUAAUACCGGAUAAUAUAUUGAACCGCAUGGUUCAAUAGUGAAAGACGGUUUUGCUGUCACUUAUAGAUGGAUCCGCGCCGCAUUAGCUAGUUGGUAAGGUAACGGCUUACCAAGGCAACGAUGCGUAGCCGACCUGAGAGGGUGAUCGGCCACACUGGAACUGAGACACGGGCCAGACUCCUACGGGAGGCAGCAGUAGGGAAUCUUCCGCAAUGGGCGAAAGCCUGACGGAGCAACGCCGCGUGAGUGAUGAAGGUCUGCGGAUCGUAAAACUCUGUUAUUAGGGAAGAACAAAUGUGUAAGUAACUAUGCACGUCUUGACGGUACCUAAUCAGAAAGCCACGGCUAACUACGGG
rnacentral:rRNA from 1 species